rnacentral:rRNA from 1 species
AGCUCCAAUAGCGUAUAUUAAAGUUGUUGCAGUUAAAAAGCUCGUAGUUGGAUCUCGGGUCCAGGCUUGCGGUUUCUGCUCAGGUAGAUUACUGCUCGUCCUGACCUACCAGCCGGUUUUCCCUCGGUGCCCUUAAUUGGGUGUCUCGGGUGACCGGAACGUUUACUUUGAAAAAAUUAGAGUGUUCAAAGCAGGCAGUGCGCCUGAAUAAUGUUGCAUGGAAUAAUGGAAAAGGAUCUCGGUUCUAUUUUGUUGGUUUUCGGAACUCGAGAUAAUGAUUGAGAGGGACGGCCGGGGGCAUUCGUAUUACGGUGUUAGAGGUGAAAUUCUUGGAUCGCCGUAAGACGAACUACUGCGAAAGCAUUUGCCAAGAAUGUUUUCA